UGCAAGUCGAACGGAGUUAUCGAGAGCUUGCUUUGAUAACUUAGUGGCGGACGGGUGAGUAACACGUGAGCAAUCUGCCCUUAAGAGGGGGAUAGCAGUUGGAAACGACUGAUAAUACCGCAUAAGAUAGUAGUACCGCAUGGUACAGCUAUAAAAGAUUUAUCGCUUAAGGAUGAGCUCGCGUCUGAUUAGCUAGUUGGUGAGGUAACGGCUCACCAAGGCAACGAUCAGUAGCCGGACUGAGAGGUUGGACGGCCACAUUGGGACUGAGACACGGCCCAGACUCCUACGGGAGGCAGCAGUGGGGAAUAUUGCACAAUGGAGGAAACUCUGAUGCAAGCGAUGCCGCGUGAGGGAAGAAGGUUUUAGGAUUGUAAACCUCUGUUGACAGGGACGAUAAUGACGGUACCUGUUGAGGAAGCUCCGGCUAACUACGUGCCAGCAGCUGC
rnacentral:rRNA from 1 species